CUGCGGAAGGAUCAUUAUCA
rnacentral:rRNA from 1 species